rnacentral:rRNA from 1 species
UCUACGGGCGGCAGCAGUCGAGAAUCAUUCACAAUGGGCGAAAGCCUGAUGGUGCGACGCCGCGUGGGGGAAGAAGGUCUUCGGAUUGUAAACCCCUGUCAUGUAGGAGCAAGACGCAAGUUUGAUAGUACUACAAGAGGAAGAGACGGCAAACUCUGUGCCAGCAGCCGCGGUAAUA